UGCAGUUAUUUAGAAUCUUCUGCUGCUCCAUAAGGUAAAAAGAUACUAUUGAGUACAGCUGCAAUUCUAUUUAACUGAUUAGAGUUUAAUGGUUGAAUUUGUGAUAUGAUUGGCUGAUACCCUUUGAUCUCUUUGACACCCCCUGAUAAUGUGAUUACUAUUGGAGAGCUAAUUAAUCUUUUAAUUAGUGUUACUGCUAUCACUUGUUUAUAACAUAUGUUUGAUAAUAUACCACAUGUUUUUUCACUUAUUUAAAUAUUGUAUACACCUAUAUAUUGUGUUUUUGUAUGUGCUACAUUAGCUUGAAAAAAGCCCUGUUGGGGCUGAAACGUUGCUUUGUAGUUCCUGGUCCAAAUAAAUUGCCUUAAGAAUUGGAAACUAUUGGAGUGCCUUAAUCAUUUUCUACAUGUUUACUGUUACUUGUCUGAUUUAUUCUGUAUUCUGUGUAAUUAUUCAUUGAUAUUUAAGAUAGCUUUAUUAGCUGAUAUAUCUUUCUACAGUUUGAAGAUUGUUUUAUUAGGUAAACUGAUGUAUAGGUUGUAUUCUCUCAUUGUGUGUUAUUCCACUUUGAACAAAGGUUGCUAUAUUUGUAUUUUAUAGGUAUUUAUCCUGCUGUUCUUGUUAGCAUGUCCCCACUGCUGUUCUGCCAAUACUUGUUUCCCCUUUUUACUUGCUUUUCACAACCCUAUUUGAGGUCUCUCUCUUCUCUCCUGGAGCCUGGGACUGUCCUGGACCCUUGCCCCUCGCGAGGAUCGCGGCCGUCAAACUUUCUACGUAACUAAAAUGUUCUAUUCCUUUUAUCAAUUUUGUCGCUUGUCUCUGCACUUUUUCUAGUGCCAUGAUAGCCUUCUUUAGAACAGGCGCCCAAAAUUGCACAGCAUAUUCAAGGUGUGGUCUUACCACCGAUUUAUAAAGAGUCAAAAUUAUAUUUUCAUCCUGAGAAUUUAUGCCCCUAUUUAUACAUGACAAAACCUUACUGGCCUAAGCAACUGCAGAUUGACAUUGCAUAUUGCUGCCUAUCUUGUUGUCUGUAACAAUUCCCAAUUCCUUCUUGUGUGUGGUUAUCCCUAAUUCAUUUAGGGUGUAAGUUACUUGUGCAUUCUUGACCCUGAAGUGCAUAACUUCUAUAUUAAAUUUCACCUGCCAUUUUAGUGCCCAGUUCCCCAAUCUAUCCAAAUCCCUCUGCAGCAAAGCAAUAUCCUGCUCACAUUUUAUUACUUUACAAAGUUGUGUGUCAUCUGCAAACACUGAAACAUGGCUUUCAAUGCGUAUUUUAACACCAUUUAUUAAUAUGUUAAAUAGAAGCGGUCCCAAAACAGAACCCUGAGGAACACCACUUACCACUUUGGUCCAGCCUGAAAAUUUACCAUUAAUGACAACUCGUUGUACUCUAUCCUUAAGCAAAUGUUCUACCCAAGAACAAGAAUAUUCACCUAGACCAUUUUUUUUUUUUAGUUUGAAGACUAACCUAAUGACCUAUGUUUCAUAAAACCAUGUUGAUUAUUGUUAAUAACAAGGUUCUUCCCAAUGAAUUCCUGAAUAUUAUCCCGUAAUAGCCUUAAUACCCAUGUUCGAUCCACGCACUAUACGACACCCCAGGUUGUCGGUAUGGACACUGCCAGAUCAUCUGGCACAAUUCGUCCAUUUUUUGCUCCGAAAGCCACUGGACAAGGAAGUGCAGGCACCCCUAUAAACGUAAUGCCCCCACCCCUCCUCCUGCCAGACAAGGUGGCUAUCACUCCGGAGUUUGACACCACGGUCGUGGUUUUCAUGUCCCGGGCUGGCAGAGAACCCAAGAAGGGCAUCGAGAAGGAGCUUAAGUCAGCACAAGACAAGCUGUUGGAUCUACUAGGCCCAUUGGCUAAGAUACUAUUCUUUGUGGAUCUGGCCCUCUCACAGGGCACAUAGUUGGACCCAAGUGACUUCCGCGAAUGGGCCCAGUGCUCUAUCUGCAUGCUGGGUAAUGCCAAUUCGACCCUCUGUACAGAGAGACACAAGACAGCACUGUUGAGGAUGGACUCAGAACUCUUAGAAUUGGGCUCCAAAGAACUGGGACCCUUGGCAAAGGAACUCCUAUUCAUUGAGCCUUUUAGCGACAGGUCAGCCUGUUCACAAUGCUGACCAAAGCCCAACCUUCUCUCAAGCACGGCUUCAGACCACCACCUGGCAGGGGUGUUUUUGAAGGGGCUUGUCGGCAGAGGGGCCGAGCCACCAGCCGAUUUUGGUCCACUGGACCCAGGUCCUAUUCACAAUCGCAUGUUCACAAGAACAAUGACUCAUCAUAGAUGAAGAGAUUUGCUUUCUAUUUGCAGUACAAUUCGCCACAGAUGAUUGGGGCUUCUACAGAAACAUCUUCCUGGUCCAAAAAAGUCGGGAGACUUUCGGCCAGUCAUCAACUUCUGCCGGCUCAACGGCUAUGUCGUCUAUUGACAUUUCAUUAUGGAAUGUAUACAUCUACUCCAGGAUCUCCUGAUGGCCAAUGAUUGGCUCACCCGUCUCGAUCUCAAGGACGCUUAUCGUUCGGUACCUGUGGCGUCUACGAGUCUUUGCUUUCUAAGGUUCGUGUGGGGUCAUCAGUCGUGUCAAUUUGCGUACCUGCCUUUCGGCCUCAGUUCAGCUCCUUGGUGCCUCCUGAAGCUACUGAAGCUGGUCAUGGCCCAUUUCCAAUCCAGGGGCAUCUGUUGCCGUGUCUACCUGGACGACAUGCUGAUCUUCUGCAACGCAGAAUCCAGACUGAGCUCACAGACGUACUUUGUCGUUCACUUUCUGGAGUCUUUGGGCUUCGUGGUGAACAGACAAAAGUCAGCUGUUUCCCCUUCACCGGUCAUGCAGUCUCUCGGUUUUCAGAUAGACAUGAGGGAUUGCGUCCUCUGACUACCUGCCACGAAGAUUGCAUCCAUUCGAAAGGAGAUUCAGCAGAUUAUUCGCACGUAUACGGCUCGUCUGUGACUCAUCGCCCAGUUAGUGGGCCUUCUUCCUCCUCGACAAUAUUUCCGGGGCCUCUGCACUACAGAGCUCUGCAGCAACUGAAGACAAAACAUUUGCGUCUGGUUCACUCAUACGACCAUUGAAUAUGCCUAUUGGGAGAGGUGCAGACAGAACUUCGUUGGUGGCUACUCCACAUGCAAGCCUGGAAUGGCUGCUAGAUUUGGACCAACACCAGAAGGGACUUUCUGACUGUGGCAUUCUGCUCUGCAUGGACAACUUCCCGGUGGUCCAAUAAUUCGACCGCCUGAGCGGAGGCAGAUCCCGAUCCUUGACGGAGGUGGUAAAAGACAUAUACAUAUUUUGCCUUGCUCGCAAUAUCAUGUAGAAUACCUCCCGGGGAUCACAAAACUCACUGCAGACUGGUCUCCACGCCACUGGCGAGACAACAGCGACUGGCGCCUAGAUGUCUCAACUUUCCGCACACUGAUGGACCUUAGUGGUCCACUACAGGUUGUCCUGUUUGCAUCCAAAAUGAACCAACAACUCCCGAGGUUCUUCAGCUGGCUGCCGGAUCCGUUUUGCAAAGCAGUGGACGUUUUCCUGCAAAUUUGGCCGGAUGAAGGAGCCUAAGCAUUCCCACUGUUCUCAAUGCUGACCUAGGUGGUCCACUACAUACGCCUUCACAGAGUGUUUCUCCUAAUCACUCCCCCCGCGCAGAGUCAAGUGUGGUUCCCGGACUUUCUUAAACUCCUUCAGACACGUUUCGGAUGUUCGGGUCUUCAACGUGGAAGUUUUUUCCUUUUUCCCGGAUGGCGUUUCCUUUGUUUUACAUGGCGGACGGGAUCGGAUUCUCCCUCCAUUUCGUAUCCGUUUUUUUCUAUAAAUCCCCGACUGUGCAUUGUGGACACGCUUUUACAGUGUUAUGGACGUUUCCACGGCUACGGUUUGGAUUUCUUGACUGUGGGUAUGCUUGAUUACAAUUGUAUGAUGUUUGGACUUUCGGACAUUUGAACUUUACCUUUAUUAGUUCGCUACAAAGAAAGAGGAAGUGAUGUGUGUGACUGGACCUUUUAUAUAACAUUGACGUGUUUUUUUGAUUGGUUGUUCUCUUAUGAUCUGUGCUGCUGGGAGUUUCAUUAAAGAGAGUUAUGCAAAUAUUCUCCUCCUGUCAUUACUAAAAUUAAGAUUAUAGGUACACUACGUUAGCAUAAUCUACAAUUCAGCUAUUUUUCCUUUAGUGAAACGCGCUGACCUUGGGGGGGGAAGCAGUCAUACUGUCACUGUCUCUCCAGCAUUUCACAUUGAAAUUGAAUUAAUGGUGGGAGCUGCACAUAGCAACUCCCAGCCUUGAGUGUAACUCUCACUAAUCUUGCCAAGACUGGAGCAUGUAUGUAAGUCAGGGGCCAUGAAACGCACAGUCGUAGAACCAGUCAUGCUGUUAUAUAUUGUAUUUUACUACAUGAUGUGAUGUCACCUUCCGUGCGCGAUUAGACAAUAUUAUCUAACCAAUGAAAUAAUGAUCAGAUUAUGUAAAAAGUCAACCAAAAACAAAACACUUUACAAACUGUCUCCCUCUAUAUAUAUAUUCCUUGGCUUCGAAGUUAGUUUGCUUAGUAACUUACAAUCACGACACAUAUUGAACAAUUUAUGAUUCUAAACAAGCACUCCCACGAAAUGUUUACUGACAAAAUAUGCAUCUGCGUAUCUAUAUAAAAACGAUUUAAUAUGCUAUGUAAAUACGAAGCCUUUUUAACCUUUAAAACAUUUUUCAACAGCAGAAAUUUAAUUGUUUCAAUGUGACAUUUGGAAACUGUUUAGUAAAUUCCGAUUUCAAUAAAUGUGCAAUGUGUGUAAGCUGUUAUGAUAAAGUUAUUCUUGGAAGGUGCUUUUAGUAAAUAUAAUAAAUAAGACAACGUAAUAAGUGUAAGCAGUGCGUGAGGAAGACAGGGGCCCCAGUGAAACUGACAAAUUUCAAACAUAUCCACUUAUAAAAGCAGCUGAAAAGCUUAACAUUAUAUAAUGUUAGUUUAUGGAUGAGUAAAUUAGGGAAUUUGAUCCACCCUUGGGGUGCAAGGAUAUUAGCAGGGUCAUAAUGCCCAGAACUGCCUCUACGUUAGAUCUUUCUUUGGUAUAGAGAGUUAGAUAAAAUUAAUUCACCCUGACUCACAUUAUUUAAGGGGGGCACUAUGUACCAUAAGUACUACAGAUCAUUUUUAUGGUUUUGCCGCAAAGAGUUUUUGGUUACAGUUUCCCAACUUUUGUUAGCCUGUUUUCAAAUAGUUUGAAACAAACAAACAUGGAUGGCCAAGAAACUAAACCCUCUCUCUGCCAAUCAGAUAAUACAGGCAUGAAUUACUCACUAUGCAUUCAAACGUGGAUGGUAGUUAAAAGCUGCGAGCAUAGAGGAUAUCAGAACUUGUAGUCUAUUGUUGUCACCAAAGAAUUUUUGGAUAAUGGAGAUGUUCAGUAUAUAACAACUCAGGAUUGGAAACUCUGGGUAGUUAGACAGAAGUCGUAGGUGUAACAAAUAUAGGUUCUUGAGGAGAGCAAGGGAAGUUGCUAGGAAUGAAGAUGGCGUUUCUCCAUAAAAGUUUUCUUCAGGAAAUUACAAUCCAGCUCUAAAAAUCUUAAAAAGAAGCCAACUAACCAUUUCCCCAGAAUGGCAAUCUCCAUACUGUGAGAUUAAAUUAAAAAAACACCCAGCAAACUAAUUAUGCAUAAUAGGCCACCCAGACUGUCAGCUAAGAAUGGUUUAUAUCCUGGCACCCAGACAAUAUUAAGAAAUUUGCUCACACCAAAGUACAAUCACUGUAAAUACAGCGUGGCUAAUCUCGAUUGGCGUGUCUGCAUUAAUUGAAUGGUUGUAGAAAUUCUUCCCAGUUGGCAGCAGAAAUAGCACUAGCCAAGUAUCCUCUUAGUUCCGUGUCUAUAACAUGUUGUGCUGUUUUUUUCCCAGCAGAUUGUUUUUUGAAUUAUAUUACUGAGCAUAUACAGACCAGAGUCGUUUAUCUAUUUCCAUACUUCUUAUCAGCUUUUUGGAUUUAGGAUGACAAUUCUUGCGACUGGUGGAACGUGGCAGUUGGAGAGUGUGCAGGCCUGGAAUUUCUUGGAAUUAUUUGCCAUGUCCAUAGCUUCUGAGAAUUAACUGUAAACUGGCCAAAACCUGGAGAUUGCUUCACUUCCUUGCUGAAAUGUUUGUGGCCUGAAGCCUGGAACUCCGCCACUCAGAUGUGACCGAGGUAGCAUGUUAAUGAAGACUGCUCUUCAAUUUAUCGGUUUCCAUAAAUUUCCAAUAAAUUUAUAUUUUACGAUUGUUAUCCGAGAUCUAAAUGUAAAAUGUUGUAGUCUGUUACCUUUCCUUGUGUUAUCUCUCUGGAAGCAUUCAUCACAACCAACUUUCCUGAAGUAUUUUUUGCAGCAAAUUUAUUCAACUCCUUG
rnacentral:lncRNA from 1 species